rnacentral:rRNA from 1 species
CGAAAGCCUGACGGAGCAAGACCGCGUGGGGGAAGAAGGCUCUUGGGUUGUAAACCCCUUUUCUCUGGGAAGAAAGUUGUGAAAGCAACCUGACGGUACCAGAGGAAUCAGCAUCGGCUAACUCCGUGCCAGCAGCCGCGGUAAGACGGAGGAUGCAAGCGUUAUCCGGAAUGAUUGGGCGUAAAGCGUCCGCAGGUGGCAGUUCAAGUCUGCUGUCAAAGACCGGGGCUUAACUUCGGAAAGGAAGUGGAAACUGAAGAGCUAGAGUAUGGUAGGGGCAGAGGAAAUUCCUGGUGUAGCGGUGAAAUGCGUAGAGAUCAGGAAGAACAUCGGUGGCGAAGGCGCUCUGCUGGACCAUAACUGACACUCACAGGACGAAAGCUAGGGGAGCG